UGAGUAGCCGAACUAUAUUUUUACAGUGAAAGACCAAUGUGUAACAGUCGAGCUAGUUCUUUGUGCAAGAUCAAUUUAAGCAAAGUUAAUUUUGUUGUCGACGACCACUAAGUUGAAGCAACAGUCAUAUAGUUGGUUGUCUGGGCUGUAGUUGCUAUAACCUACACAUCUUUGCUCAAAUUUCUGCUCAUUUUACUUCACCUUGGCCUGGAAAAUAAGGACUGAGUGUUGGUUUUAAAAUGAAGAUUAC
rnacentral:lncRNA from 1 species